UCUCAGAUGGUCCAGUGGCUAAGAUUUCCGCCUGUCAAGCCACAAUGUGGCUAACGGCUCGCGGACGACCGGGGUUCGAUUCCCCGUCUGAGAG
rnacentral:tRNA from 1 species